UACAGAGGUCCCAAGCGUUGUUCGGAUUCAUUGGGCGUAAAGGGUGCGUAGGCGGCGCGGUAAGUCGGGUGUGAAAUCUCGGGGCUUAACUCCGAAACUGCAUUCGAUACUGCCGUGCUUGAGGACUGGAGAGGAGACUGGAAUUUACGGUGUAGCGGUGAAAUGCGUAGAUAUCGAGAGGAACACCAGAGGCGAAGGCGAGUCACUGGACAGAACCUGACACUGAGGCACGAAAGCUAGGGGAGCAAACGGG
rnacentral:rRNA from 1 species